UCAGCCGACACUCUUCCUCUUCUCUUCUGUUUCUUCUUCUCUUUGUUUUUAUUUCUUUUCUCCCCUGUUGUUCGUUGUUGUGAUUCCGAGAGUGAUUUUGAUAUUAUAAAAUCGAGAGAAAGAGAGGAAGUUUAUGGAAUGGCCGGUAAUGGUGGUAUUGAUUCAUAUAAUCAAAUCAAACUCAGGAAAAGUAAAUCAGGUUAAGGCGGCUCAUACAAGCUUUGUGGUUUUUUUCCAUGGUGCUUGUGGAUUGUUUAACAGGGUUUGAGAUGGAUUUGUCGAUGGCAGAAUUGGAUGAGUUUGAAUACAUAAACCAGUUGAAUGUCCAUGGGGUUUUGAAGGAACUGGAGCUAGAAAACAUGGAAAAUGAUAAUGGUGUUGCUGUGGAUAAUGGGGAAUGAAUUGAAGUGUAUUUGAACUAUCAAAUUACAGUAUUUGUUAUCGUAGUUCAGUGGGUCUGGUGUUUACACCGAGUUACUUGAGAUGAGUUUCGGCAAUUGGUAAGAGCUAGGAGUUGCAGGUGAAUGAAUGUGUGUGUACAUGGAAUGGUGGUUGAAUGGGGAUUGAUUUAGCAGUUGAGCUCAAUCUGAGAUAGGAGUUGCAGGUCAAUAUAGCAUGACAAUGUUAUGAGCAUGUGGCUUGAAUUGGAUGAAACUGCAAGUGGAGCUCGGUUAGGAAGUUAUGCACUGUAAAAUUAUAUGAUGAGGUUUGUGCAUGGCCGUGCAAAUGGUCUCGACUCGACUCGGCGUUUCAAAUCGACGAAUCAAGUGGAUUCAGCUAUACUCAAUAGGAAGGGCUUUUUAGACAUAUUUACGUUGCCACCUAAGCAAUAACAGCUGCUAACUUCCGUUUAUAGUUUUUUUGAAUAAAACGGUCAAGAUAAGGAUACUUUAACAAAUUUCUAAAAAGUCGGGAACUUUUUUAGUGUAAAGUGAAAGCAUGGAUACUUUAUCAAAAAGCCCUAAAAUUUCUGUGCA